rnacentral:rRNA from 1 species
UAGUCCACGCUGUAAACGAUGAACACUAGAUGUCACGGGAACUGACCCUUGUGGUGUCGUAGCUAACGCGUUAAGUGUUCCGCCUGGGGAGUAUGCGCGCAAGCGUGAAACUCAAAGGAAUUGACGGGGGCCCGCACAAGCGGUGGAACAUGUGGUUUAAUUCGAUGCAACGCGCAGAACCUUACCUGGGCUUGACAUCCACGGAACUUACCAGAGAUGGUUGGGUGCCUUUCGGGGAACCGUGAGACAGGUGCUGCACGGCUGUCGUCAGCUCGUGUUGUGAAAUGUUGGGUUAAGUCCCGCAACGAGCGCAACCCUUAUCCUUGUUUGCCAGCGAGUAAUGUCGGGAACUCCAGGGAGACUGCCGGUGAUAAACCGGNGGAAGGUGGGACGACGUCAAGUCAUCAUGGCCCUUACGAGUAGGGGCUACACACGUGCUACAAUGGCGCAUACAGAGGGCAGCCAACUCGCGAGAGUGAGCGAAUCCCAAAAAGU